rnacentral:rRNA from 1 species
GGCCAAGCUACUAAGAGCAGACGGUGGAUGCCUUGGCGUCGGAUGGCGAUGAAAGACGUGGCUAACUGCGAUAAGCUUCGGCGAGCCGUUAAACAGGCUUUGACCCGGAGAUUUCUGAAUGGGAAAACCCAUCCCGGGUAAUUCCGGGAUAUCUAUUGCUGAAUACAUAGGCAAUAGAAGCGAACGAGGGGAACUGAAACAUCUAAGUACCCUUAGGAAGAGAAAGCAAAUGCGAUUCCCAAAGUAGCGGCGAGCGAAAUGGGAACAGCCCAAACCGUACAUAUGUUAAAGCCUGCAAGCGUUGUAUGUGCGGUGUUGCGGGGCCUUGUCGGAGGCGGUUGCAGUCGCUUCGACAAGUCAGAAAUGCAUUGUAUAGCUGAAGAGCCUGGAAAGGCUUGCCACAGAAGGUGAUAGCCCUGUAAGCGAAAUACAGAUGCACUUGUUGGACAAGGUUCCCAAGUACCGCGGGACACGAGAAACCCUGCGGGAAUCCAGGAGGACCAUCUCCUAAGGCUAAAUACACGCCGGCGACCGAUAGUGAACCAGUACCGUGAGGGAAAGGUGAAAAGUACCCCUGCUAGGGGAGUGAAAUAGUACCUGAAACCGUCUGUUUACAAGCAGUGGAAGAACUAUUGAAAUUUUGUUGGAUUCGUCCGACUGGUUUCAAGUUCGACUGCGUACCUUUUGCAUAAUGGGUCAGCGACUUACGCUGUGUUGCAAGGUUAAGCCGUCAGGUGUAGCCGUAGCGAAAGCGAGUCUUAAUAGGGCGAAUGAGUAGCAUGGCGUAGACCCGAAACCAGGUGAUCUAUCCAUGGGCAGGGUAAAGUCCCGGUAACACGGGAUGGAGGCCCGAACCGUAGAAGGUUGAAAACUUCCCGGAUGAACUGUGGAUAGGAGUGAAAGGCUAAUCAAACCUGGAGAUAGCUGGUACUCCCCGAAAUAUAUUUAGGUAUAGCCUCACAAAUUGAGUAACGGGGGUAGAGCCCUGGAAGGGCUAGGGGUCUCACCGGAUUACCAAACCUUACCAAACUUCGAAUACCGUUAACUUUUAUUGUGGGAGUCAGACUAUGGGAGAUAAGUUUCAUGGUCGAGAGGGAAAAAGCCCAGACCGCCGGCUAAGGUCCCUAAAUAUGUGCUAAGUGGAGAAGGAGGUGGGAAUGCUGAGACAGCCAGGAGGUUGGCUUAGAAGCAGCCAUCCUUUAAAGAAAGCGUAACAGCUCACUGGUCAAGUGAUUCUGCGCCGAAAAUUUAACGGGGCUCAAGCACAUUACCGAAGCCGCGGAUUGUAUGAAUCUUCGGAUUCAUAUGAUGGUAGGGGAGCAUUGUGUACCGGGUUGAAGGUCGACCGUAAGGACGGCUGGACUGUACACAAGAGACUAUGCUGACAUGAGUAACGAUAAAGCAGGUGAGAAACCUGCUCGCCGUAAGCCUAAGGUUUCCUGAGUAAAGUUAAUCUGCUCAGGGUUAGUCGACCCCUAAGCCGAGGCCGAAAGGCGUAGGCGAUGGGAAACGGGUUAAUAUUCCCGUACCACCAAGUUGGCAUUUGAGUGAUGGGGGGACGCAGAAGGGUAGGUCAUCCACCUGUUGGAUGGUGGUUUAAGCUGGUAGGCGGAAAGGAUAGGCAAAUCCGUUCUUUCAUUCCAAACGCCGAGAAGCGAAUACGAGAGACUAUGUCUCAUAAAGUGAUUGAUCCCAUACUGCCAAGAAAAGCCUCUAGCAAGUCAACCGGGUGAUCGUACUGCAAACCGACACAGGUAGGCGGGGUGAGAAUCCCAAGGCGCUCGAGAGAACUCUGGUUAAGGAACUCGGCAAAUUGACACCGUAACUUAGGGAUAAGGUGUGCCUCCGUUAGGUGAAGAAAUUUACUUUUGGAGCUGAAGGAGGUUGCAGAGAAAUGGGGGUGGCGACUGUUUACUAAAAACAUAGGACUCUGCCAAGUCGCAAGACGAUGUAUAGGGUCUGACGCCUGCCCGGUGCUGGAAGGUUAAGGGGACUUGUUAUCCAUUUUGUGGAGAAGCAUUGAACCGAAGCCCCAGUAAACGGCGGCCGUAACUAUAACGGUCCUAAGGUAGCGAAAUUCCUUGUCGGGUAAGUUCCGACCUGCACGAAUGGCGUAACGACUUCCCCACUGUCUCAACCAGGGACUCGGUGAAAUUGAAUUCGCGGUGAAGAUGCCGCGUACCCGCGAAAAGACGGAAAGACCCCGUGAACCUUUACUACAGCUUGACAUUGGAUUUUGGGCUAGUAUGUGUAGGAUAGGUGGGAGACUUUGAAACCUCGACGCCAGUCGGGGUGGAGUCAUCCUUGAAAUACCACCCUUACUAGUUUAGGGUUCUAACCUUGGUCCGUAAUCCGGAUCGGGGACAGUGUCUGGUGGGUAGUUUGACUGGGGCGGUCGCCUCCCAAAGAGUAACGGAGGCGCGCGAAGGUUCCCUCAGGCUGAUUGGAAACCAGCCGAAGAGUGUAAAGGCAUAAGGGAGCUUGACUGUGAGAGAGACAUCUCGAACAGGUACGAAAGUAGGUCUUAGUGAUCCGGCGGUUCCGCAUGGAAGGGCCGUCGCUCAACGGAUAAAAGGUACUCCGGGGAUAACAGGCUUAUCGCGCCCAAGAGUUCACAUCGACGGCGCGGUUUGGCACCUCGAUGUCGGCUCAUCGCAUCCUGGGGCUGGAGCAGGUCCCAAGGGUUUGGCUGUUCGCCAAUUAAAGCGGUACGUGAGCUGGGUUUAGAACGUCGUGAGACAGUUCGGUCCCUAUCUUUCGUGGGCGCAGGAUAUUUGAGAGGAUCUUUCCCUAGUACGAGAGGACCGGGAUGGACGAACCUCUGGUGUUCCAGUUGUCGCGCCAGCGGCAUAGCUGGGUAGCUACGUUCGGAAUGGAUAACCGCUGAAAGCAUCUAAGUGGGAAGCCAACCUCAAGAUAAGAUAUCCCCAUUUUGUGGAGACACAAGAUCUGAAGACCCCUUGUAGACGACAAGGUUGAUAGGCCAGGUGUGUAAGUACAGUAAUGUAUUUAGCUAACUGGUACUAAUCGGUCGUGAGGCUUGGCCAU